rfam:Hordeum vulgare subsp. vulgare, WGS project CAJW01000000 data, contig: morex_contig_1568672
UGGCGGUGAUUUGAAUCUUACCCGCGCUUCUGAUUUACUCAUGAAGUACAAGGGAAACACAUGGUUGAAUUUCUUGAUAUGAGCCA